rnacentral:tRNA from 1 species
CAGGGAGACAACAAAAUGUUUAAUAUUAUUAUUUUGUCACCUUAGGUCGAUCGGUAUCUCACGUUCUUAAUUUGUUAAGAAUUUCAUUUCCUAAGUUUUUCUAGGUCACACCCAUUAUUUUUCCUGGGCCAUUAGCUCAGGUGGUUAGAGCGCACCCCUGAUAAGGGUGAGGUCCCUGGUUCAAGUCCAGGAUGGCCCAUAUCUCUAUGUUGGGGGUAUAGCUCAGUUGGUAGAGCGCCUGCUUUGCAAGCAGGAUGUCAGCGGUUCGAGUCCGCUUACCUCCACUGAUUACCACCUCUUACAUGACUGGUAAAAAGGAAAUGUUUUGAGUUGUGAUCAUUAUUCUGAACGAAUCUAGCUUCCUAAUGAAAUCAUUAAGAUGCUGGACUCAUUGAAUUAAUUUCAUUGUUUUCAGAGAACCUUGACAACUGCAUAGAUUAUUUUUAAAGACAAUAAGCAUCUUUAAUGAUGCAGAUUUAUUAUUUGUGCGAAUGCAUUAAUAACAAUUCUAUUGAGCUGAUGCUUCAAUUUUUUGAAGUUAUU